GACGAACGCUGGCGGCGCGCCUAACACAUGCCAGUCGAACGAGCGAGAGAGAGCUUGCUUUCUUGAGCGAGUGGCGAACGGGUGAGUAACGCGUGAGGAACCUGCCUCAAAGAGGGGGACAACAGUUGGAAACGACUGCUAAUACCGCAUAAGCCCACGGUGCCGCAUGGCACAGAGGGAAAAGGAGCAAUCCGCUUUGAGAUGGCCUCGCGUCCGAUUAGCUAGUUGGUGAGGUAACGGCCCACCAAGGCGACGAUCGGUAGCCGGACUGAGAGGUUGAACGGCCACAUUGGGACUGAGACACGGCCCAGACUCCUACGGGAGGCAGCAGUGGGGAAUAUUGCACAAUGGGGGAAACCCUGAUGCAGCGACGCCGCGUGGAGGAAGAAGGUCUUCGGAUUGUAAACUCCUGUUGUUGGGGAAGAUAAUGACGGUACCCAACAAGGAAGUGACGGCUAACUACGU
rnacentral:rRNA from 1 species